AGGGCCCAGACCUAACACCCCUUCUACAGUUUUUGUGCCCAAUGUGGGGCACAAUGUCUGAAUGAUGUGAUGCUUGGUGGAUUCCUGAAACUCUGAUGUAGAACAUUGAUGAGUCUUCAGAAUAUAGCCAAAAGAGAGACUUUUCUCCAAGAGCUGGACAACAGAGUUUCUUGCCCCAUGCAUCCAGGACUCCAAAGACUGCUGGUUGUGGAGGAAAACAGAUGUGUUUUAUUAAAAAUACCAGAGCAGGAGAGAAGUGGGGAUGAUUAAUACAGGAUGGUGAAGAGAAGGGAAAGAAGAUAAUAACAUCAAACACACAAGAGAAUACUGUCUUCUUACAUUGGAGAGGCAAGACAGGAACGGUGGUGGUACCAUCACAGGAUAUUAUCUCUACUGAGGAAUCAAAUAAUGAGGAUGCUGACUUCUUCUCUCUAUGCUGCUCUUAUAUACCACCUGAUUCUUUCUGUUCUGACAGUGAAGAACCAGCUAUUCCUUCUGAUAUAGAAACAUAUUUAACAGAACUGUUACCUAAAAGCUCUCAAGUACAAUUUCCAAGUGAUAAAAUGUGGAAAGGUCUUACUAUAAUAACUGAUACAGAGGAAUCAUGCUUUGAGUCCUAUAUUAGAAGACUGUACUGAAGAAUUUAAACAAUUAAAAGCUGUGAAUAUUGUCAAUAAAUCAGAAUGCCCUUCUCAA